rnacentral:rRNA from 1 species
CACCUAGAAGCUAGCCCACACUGAUUAUAACCCAGCACUCAUAUAUUCAUAACCCCACAAACCCUUAAUCCU